rnacentral:rRNA from 1 species
GACGAACGCUGGCGGCGUGCCUAAUACAUGCAAGUCGAACGGUCUUUUCUAUGGAAGCUUGCUUCCACUGAGAAGAUAGUGGCGAACGGGUGAGUAACACGUGGGUAACCUGCCCAUAAGAGGGGGAUAACAUCCGGAAACGGGUGCUAAUACCGCAUAGUUUUCUUGAUCGCAUGAUUGAGAAAGGAAAGACGGCCUUUGUGCUGUCGCUUAUGGAUGGACCCGCGGCGUAUUAGUUAGUUGGUGAGGUAACGGCUCACCAAGACGAUGAUACGUAGCCGACCUGAGCGGGUGAUCGGCCACAUUGGGACUGGGACACGGCCCAAACUCCUACGGGAGGCAGCAGUAGGGAAUCUUCCGCAAUGGACGAAAGUCUGACGGAGCAACGCCGCGUGAGUGAAGAAGGUUUUCGGAUCGUAAAACUUUGUUGUCAGAGAAGAACAAGUCGGAGAGUAACUGCUCCGGCCUUGACGGUAUCUGACCAGAAAGCCACGGCUAACUACGUGCCAGCCGCCGCCGUAAUAC